GAGUUUGCUUUCAUUCAGGAAAUAUUCCACUUGGAUAAACCCAAUCAGGUAUGUGACCAGUUCUUUCUGGGUCUUGAGGGGUUCCUGAUUUGUAAAUUAAAAAAAAAACUGCACAUUGCAAUUAACUAUAUGCGCAUUAGUAAUCAUUAUUUGCUACCUAUUAAAAAGGGAACACUGAAAAUUAAUAGGAUUAUUCAUUAAUUGAUACCAAUCAUUCACUAGUUUUAUACAAUUUCACUGC
rnacentral:lncRNA from 1 species